AUACGGAGGGUGCAAGCGUUACUCGGAAUCACUGGGCGUAAAGUGCGCGCAGGCGGCUAUUUAAGUUGGAUGUGAAAGCCUACGGCUCAACCGUAGAACUGCAUCCAAAACUAUUUAGCUAGAGUGUGGGAGAGGAAGAUGGAAUUAGUUGUGUAGGGGUAAAAUCCGUAGAGAUAACUAGGAAUACCAAAAGCGAAGGCAAUCUUCUGGAACACUACUGACGCUGAGGCGCGAAAGCGUGGGGAGCAAACAGGAUUAGAAACCCUAGUAGUCC
rnacentral:rRNA from 1 species